rnacentral:rRNA from 1 species
UACGUAGGGGGCAAGCGUUAUCCGGAAUUACUGGGCGUAAAGCGCACGCAGGCGGUUCGCCAAGUUUGGAGUGACAGUUGUCGGCUCAACCGACAAAGGACUUCAAAAACUGGUGAACUUGAGGACGAGAGAGGAACAUGGAACUCCAGGUGUAGUAGUGAAAUGCGUAGAUAUCUGGAAGAACACCAAUGGCGAAGGCAAUGUCCUGGCUCGUUACUGACGCUCAGGUGCGAAAGCCAGGGGAGCGAACGGG